rnacentral:lncRNA from 12 species
GGGCUAUUGCAUCCUGUAUAACCAGCCAGUUCCCAGUAAAAGCUUGUGCCAUUUGAGAGAAGGAUAUAGGUUUGAUGUCUGUGUGAUUGGGAACUGACAGUGCUACGACUCCAAGGAACAAAUGAGGAAAAUAAGUAAAAAAAGAUCCUACAGUCUGACCGAGUUCCUAGAGAGGAGUCAAUCUGCAUCUUGUGAGUGGAAGCACAAAGCAUGGAUGUAUGGUUUGG